rnacentral:lncRNA from 1 species
AAGAGGACAUGCCGUUACAACAACAACAACCUAGUAUAAUCACACUUAGUGGGUCUGGAGAGGGUAGUGUGUACGCAGACCUUAUCUCUACCCUGGGAUAGAGAGACUUUUUCAAAUAGACCCCGGCAUCAUUUCCUCCAAGAAUUUUUCACCUUGCGCUUGGAGACUCAAAUUCACAACCUUCGAUUGAAAGUGGAGUUACUUACCGUCAGAACUAC